UGGGCAACCUGCCCCUCUCUCUGGGAUAACCCCGGGAAACCGGAGCUAAUACCGGAUACUCCGGCUGGAUCGCAUGGUCCGGCCGGGAAAGGUCCGCCGGAGAGGGAUGGGCCCGCGGCCUAUCAGCUUGUUGGUGACGU
rnacentral:rRNA from 1 species